rnacentral:lncRNA from 1 species
AUUAACAGUAUAGAAACUGAAAUUAUACGUUUACAGCACUUAAGGAACUCAAACUAUAGUUAUUAAAACAUGUGAUAUACCUAAAUGCACCCGUAAAUGAUUACACAUAUUGUGUAAUUUUAUUUUAUUUUUGUAAAACUUAGAUUAUUGAAUAUGCAGAGCAACAAAAUGAUUUCUCUCCUUUAAGAAGUGGCAACCCAGACAUUAAGACAAUUCCGCAAUGACUAAACUCCUAGAGGCUGAUCAAUGGUGCUUUGGGUCUGGGCCUUCAGGGGCAAGUCUGCCAGGCUUACGUGGGCUUUCUUCAAAUUCGGAGAAGACGAGGGUCACAGUAGAACGGGCCUGGGCUCGGUUGGUUGAAAGUUGAGCUGGAAACCUCUUGAAGGUAGGUGGAGUUUGGAGAAGACGAGAUUUAGCGGUGGAUAAUAAGAGGAGCAGAAACAUAAGGCAGAAGAAGCAGGGUUUGGAUUUGAACAUGUUGACGUAAUGAAGAAUGUGUAUGAUAAAAUGUCUGAGUGAGAAUGUGAGAAGCGAUGCAGAGGUAGUGAGUAUAUAUAGCGAGAAAGAGUGUAGACAUUAGAAGGUGAGAGGUAUAUUUUAGUAUGGGUUGGCCUCCAGUGAAGAUGGCGUUUGGUAGUUUGAUGACUGGGUGAAUACUUGGACACAACCAAAUUCUAGUUCUAUUCUUCACUUGUUCAUUUCUAUUGGCUCUGGCUGACCCCUGCAGACUUCCAAAAAUUUCCUAUACUUUGUCAUUUACCACCCUAUCUAACUUUUCAAACAUUAUCAAAAUGCAACCAUCAUACCAUAAAUCCGUAACGGAAGGAGACUCUUCUCGUGUUAAAAUACAUAUAUAUACAAGAUUCUAAGUGUCAAGAUUUCAUCAUUCCUUCCAUAAGCUAAAAAGUUAAAUUUUUUGCUCUCUUUUGUCAUCGGUAUCACUUGGGAAAGAAAGAGACAUAAAAAAAAGCAAGUGACGCUGGUACUUUAUUAUUACC